rnacentral:rRNA from 1 species
UACGGGGGGGGCAAGCGUUGUUCGGAAUUACUGGGCGUAAAGGGCUCGUAGGCGGCCAACUAAGUCAAACGUGAAAUCCCUCGGCUUAACCGGGGAACUGCGUCUGAUACUGGAUGGCUUGAGUUUGGGAGAGGGAUGCGGAAUUCCGGGUGUAGCGGUGAAAUGCGUAGAUAUCCGGAGGAACACCGGUGGCGAAGGCGGCUUCCUGGACCGACACUGACGCUGAGGCGCGAAAGCUAGGGGAGCAAACGGG